UACAGAGGAUGCAAGCGUUAUCCGGAAUGAUUGGGCGUAAAGCGUUUGUAGGUGGUUUAUUAAGUCUGAUGUGAAAGCCCACGGCUCAACCGUGGAGGGUCAUUGGAAACUGGGGAACUUGAGUGCAGGAGAGAAGAGUGGAAUUCCACGUGUAGCGGUGAAAUGCGUAGAGAUGUGGAGGAACACCAGUGGCGAAGGCGACUCUUUGGCCUGUAACUGACACUGAGGCGCGAAAGCGUGGGGAGCAAACAGG
rnacentral:rRNA from 1 species